CCCUUAGAUGUUCUGGGCUGCACGCGCGCUACACUGAUGCACUCAACGAGUUUACGACCUUGUCCGAGAGGAUUGGGUAAUCUUUUUAAAAUGCAUCGUGAUGGGGAUAGAUUAUUGCAAUUAUUAAUCUUCAACGAGGAAUUCCUAGUAAGCGCGAGUCAUCAGCUCGUGCUGAUUACGUCCCUGCCCUUUGUACACACCGCCCGUCGCACCUACCGAUUGAAUGGUUCGGUGAAGAUCUCGGACUUCGAUAUUUAUUCUUUAUUGAGUUUAUAUUGUGGGAAGUUAUCUAAACCUCAUCAUUUAGAGGAAGGUGAAGUCGUAACA
rnacentral:rRNA from 1 species